AUACUUACCUGGCAGGGGAACCCCAUGAUCAAGAAGGUGGUUCACCCAAGGUAGAGGGAUGCGCCGGACUGUAGUGCAAUCGAUCUGUAACGUGAUUGGAUGAGAAUCUACAGACUUUUUGACAUAUUUGAUUUAUUUGUUUCAGGU
rnacentral:snRNA from 1 species